AACGAACGCUGGCGGCAGGCUUAACACAUGCAAGUCGAACGCCCCGCAAGGGGAGUGGCGCACGGGUGAGGAACACGUGGGGAUCUGCCCUUCAAUACGGAACAACACCGGGAAACUGGUGCUAAUACCGGAUAUACCUUUUGGUCUUGGCGACCGAUUGGGAAAGAUUUAUCGCUGAAGGAUGAACCCGCGUCUGAUUAGCUAGUUGGUGAGGUAACGGCUCACCAAGGCGACGAUCAGUAGCUGGUCUGAGAGGACGAUCAGCCACACUGGAACUGAGACACGGUCCAGACUCCUACGGGAGGCAGCAGUGGGGAAUAUUGGACAAUGGGCGAAAGCCUGAUCCAGCCAUGCCGCGUGAGUGAUGAAGGCCUUCGGGUUGUAAAGCUCUUUUAGAUGGGAAGAUAAUGACGGUACCAUCAGAAUAAGCCCCGGCUAACUUCGUGCCAGCCGCCGCAGUAA
rnacentral:rRNA from 1 species